rnacentral:rRNA from 1 species
GAUCCUGGCUCAGGAUGAACGCUGGCGGUAUGCCUAACACAUGCAAGUCGUACGAGAGUUUUUAACUCUAGUGGCGGACGGGUGAGUAACACGUGAGAAUUUGCCCAGUCGAGGGGGAUAACAGUUGGAAACGACUGCUAAUACCGCAUACGCCCUACGGGGGAAAGCAGGGGGACCUUCGGGCCUUGCGCGAUUGGAUAUGCCCAGGUGGGAUUAGCUUGUUGGUGAGGUAAUGGCUCACCAAGGCGACGAUCCCUAGCUGGUCUGAGAGGAUGAUCAGCCACACUGGAACUGAGACACGGUCCAGACUCCUACGGGAGGCAGCAGUGGGGAAUAUUGCACAAUGGGGGAAACCCUGAUGCAGCCAUGCCGCGUGUGUGAAGAAGGCCUUCGGGUUGUAAAGCACUUUCAGCGAGGAGGAAAGGUUGAUGCCUAAUACGCAUCAGCUGUGACGUUACUCGCAGAAGAAGCACCGGCUAACUCCGUG